CUUUUACAAUGAAGAGUUUGAUCCUGGCUCAGGAUGAACGCUAGCUACAGGCUUAACACAUGCAAGUCGAGGGGCAUCAGGAAGAAAGCUUGCUUUCUUUGCUGGCGACCGGCGCACGGGUGAGUAACACGUAUCCAACCUGCCCUUUACUCGGGGAUAGCCUUUCGAAAGAAAGAUUAAUACCCGAUGGGAUAAUCAUUCCGCAUGGUUUGAUUAUUAAAGGAUUCCGGUAAAGGAUGGGGAUGCGUUCCAUUAGGUUGUUGGUGAGGUAACGGCCCACCAAGCCUUCGAUGGAUAGGGGUUCUGAGAGGAAGGUCCCCCACAUUGGAACUGAGACACGGUCCAAACUCCUACGGGAGGCAGCAGUGAGGAAUAUUGGUCAAUGGGCGCGAGCCUGAACCAGCCAAGUAGCGUGAAGGAUGACUGCCCUAUGGGUUGUAAACUUCUUUUAUAUUAGAAUAAAGUGCAGUAUGUAUACUGUUUUGUAUGUAUAAUAUGAAUAAGGAUCGGCUAACUCCGUGCCAGCAGCCGCGGUAAUACGGAGGAUCCGAGCGUUAUCCGGAUUUAUUGGGUUUAAAGGGAGCGUAGGUGGACUGGUAAGUCAGUUGUGAAAGUUUGCGGCUCAACCGUAAAAUUGCAGUUGAUACUGUCAGUCUUGAGUACAGUAGAGGUGGGCGGAAUUCGUGGUGUAGCGGUGAAAUGCUUAGAUAUCACGAAGAACUCCGAUUGCGAAGGCAGCUCACUGGACUGCAACUGACACUGAUGCUCGAAAGUGUGGGUAUCAAACAGGAUUAGAUACCCUGGUAGUCCACACAGUAAACGAUGAAUACUCGCUGUUUGCGAUAUACAGUAAGCGGCCAAGCGAAAGCAUUAAGUAUUCCACCUGGGGAGUACGCCGGCAACGGUGAAACUCAAAGGAAUUGACGGGGGCCCGCACAAGCGGAGGAACAUGUGGUUUAAUUCGAUGAUACGCGAGGAACCUUACCCGGGCUUAAAUUGCAGUGGAAUGAUGUGGAAACAUGUCAGUGAGCAAUCACCGCUGUGAAGGUGCUGCAUGGUUGUCGUCAGCUCGUGCCGUGAGGUGUCGGCUUAAGUGCCAUAACGAGCGCAACCCUUAUCUUCAGUUACUAACAGGUCAUGCUGAGGACUCUGGAGAGACUGCCGUCGUAAGAUGUGAGGAAGGUGGGGAUGACGUCAAAUCAGCACGGCCCUUACGUCCGGGGCUACACACGUGUUACAAUGGGGGGUACAGAAGGCAGCUACCUGGUGACAGGAUGCUAAUCCCAAAAGCCUCUCUCAGUUCGGAUCGAAGUCUGCAACCCGACUUCGUGAAGCUGGAUUCGCUAGUAAUCGCGCAUCAGCCACGGCGCGGUGAAUACGUUCCCGGGCCUUGUACACACCGCCCGUCAAGCCAUGGGAGCCGGGGGUACCUGAAGUACGUAACCGCAAGGAGCGUCCUAGGGUAAAACUGGUGACUGGGGCUAAGUCGUAACAAGGUAGCCGUACCGGAAGGUGCGGCUGGAACACCUCCUUUCU
rnacentral:rRNA from 1 species